rnacentral:lncRNA from 1 species
UGUGGAGGCUAUAUACAGGGGGUACCGGUACAGAGUCAAUGUGGAGGCUAUAUACAGGGCAUUACGGUACAGAGUCAAUGUGGAGGCUAUAUGCAGGGGGUACCGGUACAGAGUAAAUGUGGAGGCUAUAUACAGGGGGUACCGGUACAGAGUCAAUGUGGAGGCUAUAUACAGGGGGUACCGGUACAGAGUCAAUGUGGAGGCUAUAUACAGGGGGUACCGGUACAGAGUCAAUGUGGAGGCUAUAUACAGGGGUUACCGGUACAGAGUCAAUGUGGAGGCUAUAUACAGGGGGUACCGGUACAGAGUCAAUGUGGAGGCUAUAUACAGGGUAUUACGGUACAGAGUCAAUGUGGAGGCUAUAUACAGGGUAUUACGGUACAGAGUCAAUGUGGAGGCUAUAUACAGGGGGUACCGGUACAGAGUCAAUGUGGAGGCUAUAUACAGGGGGUACCGGUACAGAGUCAGUGUGGAGGCUAUAUACAGGGUAUUACGGUACAGAGUCAAUGUGGAGGCUAUAUACAGGGUAUUACGGUACAGAGUCAAUGUGGAGGCUAUAUACAGGGUAUUACGGUACAGAGUCAAUGUGGAGGCUAUAUACAGGGUAUUACGGUACAGAGUCAAUGUGGA